AUGCAGCCCUCCGCCGCGUCGAGCAUGUCCUGGUCGCCGACGCCGGCGCCCACGUACCGCUCCACCAGCUCGCGCAUGGCGUGCGCGCCGCACGGGCCCAGGCGCACGUGCACGUCCAUCCUCCCCGGCCGCAGCAGCGCCGGGUCGAUGCCGUCCACGUGGUUCGUCGUGAACACGAUGAUGCGCUCCUCGCCGCAGCACGACCACAGGCCGUCGGUGAAGUUGAGCAGCCCCGAGAGGGUCACCUUCCCGCGGUGGUUGUCGGCGCCCAUGACGUCGUCGUCCGAGUCGGACGAGUCAUCGGAGGCGGCCGCGCGGCGUCUCUUGUGCCGCCUCGUGGAGGCCAGGCCGCGGUCGCCGGUGAGGUGGAGGGAGCAGUCGAUGUCCUCGAUGACAAUGAGCGAGCGAUUGGUCGUCUGGAUGAGGAGCGCGCGGAGGUCGGCGUUGGUGGUGACGCGGGUGAGCUCGAGGUCGAACACGUCGUACCGGAGGUGGUUCGCCAUGGCGGCGAUCAGCGAAGACUUGCCCGAGCCAGGCGGGCCGUGGAGGAGGUACCCGCGCUUCCACGGCCUCCCAGUCCGGCGGUAG
rnacentral:rRNA from 1 species